GAUGAACGCUGGCGGCGUGCCAAAUACAUGCAAGUCGAGCGAACGGACGAGAAGCUUGCUUCUCUGAUGUUAGCGGCGGACGGGUGAGUAGCACGUGGAUAACCUACCUAUAAGACUGGGAUAACUUCGGGAAACCGGAGCUAAUACCGGAUAAUAUUUUGAACCGCAUGGUUCAAAAGUGAAAGACGGUCUUGCUGUCACUUAUAGAUGGAUCCGCGCUGCAUUAGCUAGUUGGUAAGGUAACGGCUUACCAAGGCAACGAUGCAUAGCCGACCUGAGAGGGUGAUCGGCCACACUGGAACUGAGACACGGUCCAGACUCCUACGGGAGGCAGCAGUAGGGAAUCUUCCGCAAUGGGCGAAAGCCUGACGGAGCAACGCCGCGUGAGUGAUGAAGGUCUUCGGAUCGUAAAACUCUGUUAUUAGGGAAGAACAUAUGUGUAAGUAACUGUGCACAUCUUGACGGUACCUAAUCAGAAAGCCACGGCUAACUACGUG
rnacentral:rRNA from 1 species